rnacentral:rRNA from 1 species
GUUGACGCUGGCGGCAGGCCUAACACAUGCAAGUCGCGCGAUUGGCGGACGGGUGAGUAAUGUAUGGGGAACUGCCUGAUAGAGGGGGAUAACUACUGGAAACGGUGGCUAAUACCGCAUACUAUCGGAUGAACCCAUAUGGGAUUAGCUCGUAGGUGGGGUAAAGGCUCACCUAGGCGACGAUCUCUAGCUGGUCUGAGAGGAUGAGCAGCAACACUGGAAAUGAGACACGGCCCAGACUCCUACGGUAGGCAGCAGUGGGGAAUAUUGCACAAUGGGCGCAAGCCUGAUGCAGCCAUGCCGCGUGUAUGAAGAAGUCCUUAGGGUUGUAAAGUACUUUCAGCGGUGAGGCGUUACCCGCAGAAGAAGCACCGGCUAACUCCGUGCCAGCCGCGGCGGGAAUAC